UGCCACAGACGAAGGGUCGGAGUUGUUUGGUAGAAGAGUUUUCUCUGUUGCAGGAUAUGGAGGAUAUGCCAAAAUUUUGCUAUCAAAUCGAAAGGCUACAGUAGCUUGACUGCAAUUUGCUUGGUAAUAUCCUCUAAAUUCUUUUCCCCCCCAAAACUCUUUUCUUAAACAAUGCCCACCCUUCAUCUCUGGACA
rnacentral:pre_miRNA from 1 species